AAUAAUUAAAAGGCAUAAUACUAUUAGUACGAGAUGAAAAAAUUGACACGCUUCUUAAUAUUUGUGUUCAUGGUUUCCGUUAUACAAUUUUCGUUGAUACAUGGAAGGAAACUUUGUGACACGAAAGAGAAACUUGAGACUCUUGCAUUGAUGCUUCCAAAAGGCUUUGUUCCACCUUCGGGGCCAAGUCCAGACAUAGACUAAUCAAUGCCUGAAGUUGCAUUCCACUGCAUGCGUGUUCAUGUAUUUCUAUUGUUUGAUUUUACAAUUUUUGUGACAUUUUGUUUGCAUGUUACUUGUAAAAAAAAGGUUAAUAGGUCUUUACCCCCUGUAAUAUAGGUCAUUUCCGGUUUUUCUCUGUAAAAUUUUUAUUUUGAUUCACCUCCUGUAGAAUGUUUUUGUUUUGAUUUACCUCCUAAUAGGCCAAACGAAAAUGAAAAUUUCUUGAAAAAAAAAAUUUGGUUUUUGUUUGGCCUAUUAGGGAGGUAAAUCAAAACAAAAAUAUUUUACAGGGGUGAAUCAAAAUAAAAAUUAUACAGGGAAAAACCAAAAAUAACCUAUAUUACAGGGGAUAAAGACAUAUUAACCCUAGAAAAAAUUCCAUGAUUACUUGUUUAUCAUUGUUAUUGCAGAAGAAAUAUGCCCACAUAAAAGUCGAUCGAUAUCAAAUUAUCUUGGCUAGUUAAACUUAAUUUACACCCUACAUCACCAAAAAUGUGAUUAUUGCUAACAAUCAUCUCUCUAUUUAUAAAAUAGACUUAACUCGUUAAUUAAUUAAUAAUUUACUUCCACAAGUUAAACUUAGGCUAGGACAAAAUCACUAAAAUUGGUGUUACAAUUAGUGUGGGUCGGACAAACUAUUUUCCAUCAAUUGUAGUUCAAUGAUCAUUACAAGGAAGAAGUGUUCAUGAUAUUCAAGAAAGUUUGAUUCAGUCUAGAAUAUACGAAGAAAUCAUAAAUUGUAUGGAGGAAUCAUAUGAAGUUUGUUUGGUUGGUUCAAGAUCUUGUCUCUGUUUAAUUAUGAUGUUUCAAUUAUUAUUGUUGGUGUAUUAUGUUGAAUUUAUUUUGGUAGAAUGUGAUUUAAUGACAUAAAAGUUGUGUGAAGGGCGGGGAAAUACUUUGUCUAUGUUUUAGACUAUUACCUUUUCCACUUUAUGUGUUUCUCAUGCGUCUAUUUUUUUCUUCCCCAAAACACUCUUUGUUCGGAUUCUAGAAUCCGAACACAGUUUGUAUUAUAGAAUUUGAAACUUUGUAUUAUCCAGAUUUACAUAAUAACAUUGACGUAUAAUAUCAAUAAGGC
rnacentral:lncRNA from 1 species